GUGGGGAAUUUUGGACAAUGGGGGCAACCCUGAUCCAGCAAUGCCGCGUGCAGGAAGAAGGCCUUCGGGUUGUAAACUGCUUUUGUACGGAACGAAACGGUCCUGGUUAAUACCUGGGGCUAAUGACGGUACCGUAAGAAUAAGCACCGGCUAACUACGUGCCAGCAGCCGCGGUAAUACGUAGGGUGCAAGCGUUAAUCGGAAUUACUGGGCGUAAAGCGUGCGCAGGCGGUUUUGUAAGACAGGCGUGAAAUCCCCGGGCUCAACCUGGGAAUGGCGCUUGUGACUGCAAGGCUGGAGUGCGGCAGAGGGGGAUGGAAUUCCGCGUGUAGCAGUGAAAUGCGUAGAUAUGCGGAGGAACACCGAUGGCGAAGGCAAUCCCCUGGGCCUGCACUGACGCUCAUGCACGAAAGCGUGGGGAGCAAACAGGAUUAGAUACCCUGGUAGUCC
rnacentral:rRNA from 1 species